rnacentral:rRNA from 1 species
CGGGAAGGGUCUAGUGUACACAUCGUUGAACUGGGGCUAAUUCCUGAUAGGUGAAGAACCCUGGAAUGGGUCUCCGCCCAAAGGGCGUGCAGAUCAUGCUUCUGCGCGUUGCUCAAGGAUGGGGCCGCGACCGAUCAGGUUGUUGGUGAGGUAAUGGCUCACCAAGCCUAUAACCGGUGCGGGCCGUGAGAGCGGGAGCCCGGAGAUGGGCACUGAGACAAGGGCCCAGGUCCUACGGGGCGCAGCAGUCGCGAAAACUUUGCAAUACACGCAAGUGUGACAGGGUCAUCCCGAGUGCCGACCGCUGAGGUUGGCUUUUACCCAGUCUAGAAAGCUGGGGGAAUAAGGAGAGGGCAAGUCUGGUGUCAGCCGCCGCGGUAAUACCAGCUCUCCGAGUGGUGUGGACGUUUAUUGGGCCUAAAGCAUCCGUAGCUGGCUGAACAAGUCCCCUGUUAAACCCAACGAUUUAAUCGUUGGUCUGCGGGGGAUACUGCUCGGCUAGGGGACGAGAGAGGCAGACGGUAUUUCCGGGGUAGGGGUGAAAUCCUAUAAUCCCGGGAGGACCACCAGUGGCGAAGGCUGUCUGCUAGAACGCGCCCGACGGUGAGGGAUGAAAGCUGGGGGAGCGAACCGGAUUAGAUACCCGGGUAGUCCCAGCUGUAAACGAUGCAAGCUAGGUGUUUGGACGGCCACGUGCCGUUCUAGUGCCGCAGGGAAGCUGUUAAGUCUGCCGCCUGGGGAGUACGAUCGCAAGAUUGAAACUUAAAGGAAUUGGCGGGGGAGCAC